GAGGAAAAAUACUGUAUCGGGAGAAGAUGGCAAGAGUCUGAUUCAAACUUCCAGUCUACCCUUAAAGAUGUGGACCGUGAGCUCAGAGUCCAACUGUAAGGCUAGAACUGAAUCAAGGGAGAGAGCAGUCGUCCUCCACCAGAGAAGAAUAUAUCCAGCUUUGCUUCAGAUGGGCAGGGCAUUGCCAUUAGACUCUCCAAGCAGGUAGCCAAUUGAUUUUCAGGAAUCAUGUGAUCCCUCUUGGCAUGUCUACUUCUGCUUUAAUGACACUAUUGAAGAAGAUGAUGUUUCGAGGAGUCUAAAAAGGCGAGGGAUUGAUGCCUUACAUAUGAAGACUCGGGCAGCUGAGAAAAAGUGCGUGCUUUACCAGGAAAUGAGAAGUCUAAGGGGCCAGUCACACCAAAAGCGUUUAUGGCAGUUGCAGGCGCCUUUUUUGAAUGAUAUUC